GCCGGGCGCGGUGGUGCAUGCCUAUAGUCCCAGCUACUCAGGAGGCUGAGAUGGGAAGAUCGCUUGAGCCCAGGAGUUCUGGGCUGUAGUGCGCUAUGCUGAUCGGGUGUCUGCACUAAGUUUGGCAUCAAUAUGGUGACCUCCUGGGAGCAGGGGACCACAGGUUGCCUAAGGAGGGGUGCACCGGCCCAGGUCAGAAACGGAGCAGGUCAAAACUCCCGUGCUGAUCAGUGGUGGGAUCAUGCCUGUGAAUAGCCACUGCACUCCAGCCUGGGCAACAUAGCAAGACCUUGUCUCU
rnacentral:SRP_RNA from 1 species